rnacentral:lncRNA from 1 species
AGCUGCUUUCUGUCUGGGAGUCCCAGGACAACAACUUGGACGGGAUUCUGAGCUGGGAGGAAAAGGGAAGGAGAAGAGGUGGACAGUUUCCCUCUCAGGUCCUGUCUUUCUGGGUAUUCUUGCAAGCCGCUUCCCCGGGACUGUCCUGGGGACCCAAGGCAUGGAGCUGAGCUGACCACGGGAGCGGAGAUCGGGACUGAGGUGAGCAGGAAGUGGAGGACUGGAUGUGCCUUCGCAGUGCCUGAGAGGUGCCUCAGAGGGGCUGGAGGGCUGAGUCCCAGGUGGCAAAGCUUUGCAGAAGUGUGUGUGUCUGUGGUACAAAAACCUGGGACCGGAGGAAAGUCUGAUGCUUGGGACUCUUAGGACAAGGGGCAUCACCCCAGCUUCCCCAAACCAUGCUCAGGGACCAUCCUGGGAAAGUACAGAGAUCGGGGGCUGGCCCCAGACAAGCGGGGAAAGAGGGGUGGUCACCUGACUGACAGGGAGGGGAAGCAGACAGUGCCCAGCGAUGUGGGAAGGGAGAGCAGACAGGAGAAAGCUUGGGCAUUCCUGAGGCCCCAUGACCUGCAAUUAGCCACGCAGAUGAGGGGUUUCUGCCCUCCCCCACAGGUGGGGCAGGGCAAGCAGGGAGCCAACUGUCUCCCAGAAGGAGGAAGCAGCCUCAGCUCGGGGUGCCGGGGAGGCAUGAGCAUGCUUGUGCCAGGGAAGGGCAACGAGGGAGCCGCCGGGAGGUGCAGGCGGCCACCAGCUGAAGCGAGCAGCCCACAGGGUGUGAAGGACUAGACGGAGUCAGGUUUUGGUGCCAUGCACACAGGUAUGUGUGUGCAAAGGGACGUGACGGGAACGGCACCAGUGUGUGUACGGAAAAAGGAACUGGUAUGUGGGUGUGGGCUGCAGCAGGGGCUGGGGCAUCCCAUUCGCCCCCGUAGCCGGGGCUGGCCCGGGAGGGUGAUGGGCUGCACUGGGAUCCCGGCGGCACACGGGGGGCGGCAUUUCCCCACCUGUCUGCUCCUCCGCUAGCCCCCGGCCAGGCCUCCGUCUUCAUGCCCAGCUCCUGAACACGGUUAAUUCCGGACUUGCUAGGCCUCUUGAAGAUUUCCUCGAUGGGCAGACUGAGCCCAGUGUGGGUGUAGGUGUCUUUGCUUCUGGAGGGCAUGGAUGUGCGGUGAGCUCCAAUCCGUGCCCCGUGCCCUGCUCCAGCUUAGCGGGGGUGGGAAGGUGGUGCGAGCGGCUGGAGAGCUGACCGAGACGGGUGGACCCUUGGGAAGGGGGGGAUCUCUGGAAGGCAUCUCAACUGUGGAUGACACCGUUGUUUAUUCCUAGCACACAGCGGGGGGGGGGGGGGGGGGGCGGGUAGAAGGGUACCGUGGAGACGGGGUGAGGGAGGCGGAAAGGUGGGGCGUGCCAUCCUCCUGGCUUCUUAAAAGUCACCCCAGAAGGAGAGCUCUGUACGGCUUGUUUUUGUGUCUGACAUCCUCCUGGACACUUCUUCCCUGAGUCUAACUUGAAUCGCACUUGCUGCACUGUCAGCCUGUUUCCCCUUGGCUUUGCCGUGGCUCUAGGCCAGCUUUCCUUCUCACAUGCUCUUGCUUUCAUUCUGCCAUUCCGGUUUUUCAUUCUAACACACAAAUUAUGAUCUUCCCAGUAACCUUUAAACAUUAAAAAAAAAAUGUCAUUAUCAGCUCAUCAAUGUAUGUUCUCUUGUCUCCCUUCCCCCAUCCCGAUACAACCCAAACCCUGUGCCCGAGCCGGGCUCUCAGAUUUGCUUCCUCAUCCUGCACUCGCCUCUGGUUUCCCCUCCGUUUACUCCUUUGCCCCAGCAGGUCUCCCCUCCUUCAACUGUCCAGGACAGCUGGGCCCUGGAAUAGCUGCUUUUGGUCUGCGAAGUAAGGCUUGUCCCUUGACCACCCCCUUGGUGACCUGUGUGCUCGGGCUCACCCUGAGCUGAGCUACACUAUAGCUCUUGGUACUUGGUACUUGGUCAGGCAAAGGCAAAAAUCUCUCCUUGUCUUUCAUGGAUCUUAUUUUUACUCCCCACCCUCCCAAUGCCCUUGUUGAACAGGGAUCAUUCUCUCUUCCAGGGAGACUUAAAGCCCAGAGAGGAGGUGUGAUUUGCCUAAGGUCACACAGCAAGUUAGAGACUCAGCUCCACUGCUUAGUGUAUUGGUAAGUUUAUUCAAAUCAUUCAAAAAUAGUUUUCCUGAACACCUGGUGGGUGUCAAGUCCUGUUCCUUAGCCUCUC